AGAGCGAACGCUGGCGGCAGGCUUAACACAUGCAAGUCGAGCGGGCGUAGCAAUACGUCAGCGGCAGACGGGUGAGUAACGCGUGGGAACGUACCUUUUGGUUCGGAACAACCCAGGGAAACUUGGGCUAAUACCGGAUAAGCCCUUACGGGGAAAGAUUUAUCGCCGAAAGAUCGGCCCGCGUCUGAUUAGCUAGUUGGUGAGGUAAUGGCUCACCAAGGCGACGAUCAGUAGCUGGUCUGAGAGGAUGAUCAGCCACAUUGGGACUGAGACACGGCCCAAACUCCUACGGGAGGCAGCAGUGGGGAAUAUUGGACAAUGGGCGCAAGCCUGAUCCAGCCAUGCCGCGUGAGUGAUGAAGGCCCUAGGGUUGUAAAGCUCUUUCGCUCGGGACGAUAAUGACGGUACCGAGAUAAGAAGCCCCGGCUAACUUCGUGCCAGCAGCCGC
rnacentral:rRNA from 1 species